rnacentral:rRNA from 1 species
GUUGCCAUCACGGUCAAGCUGGGGACGUCUAAUGAAACUGCCUACGCAAGUAGUGAGGAAGGUGGGGAUGACGUCAAGUCAUCAUGGCCUUUAUGCCCAGGGCUACACACGUGCUACAAUGGCCGGCACAGACGGCAGCUUAGUGGCGACACUUGGCAAAUACCUCUAAAGCCGGUCCCAGUUCGGAUUGCAGUCUGCAACUCGACUGCAUGAAGCCGGAAUCGCUAGUAAUCGCAGAUCAGCCAAGCUGCGGUGAAUACGUUCCCGGGCCUU